AUCGAACGCUGGCGGCAGGCUUAACACAUGCAAGUCGAGCGAGCGGCGGACGGGUGAGCAAUGUCGGGGAAACUGCCUGAUGGAGGGGGAAAACUACUGGAAACGGUAGCUAAUACUGCAUACCAUUAGUUGUGCCCAGAUGGGAUUAGCUAGUCGGUGGGGUAAUGGCUCACCUAGGCGACGAUCCCUAGCUGGUCUGAGAGGAUGACCGGCCACACUGGGACUGAGACACGGUCCAGACUCCUACGGGAGGCAGCAGUGGGGAAUAUUGCGCAAUGGGCGCAAGCCUGAUAGAGCCAUGCCGCGUGUGUGAAGAAGGCUUUCGGGUUGUAAAGCACUGUCAGCAAGGAGGCGGUACUCGCAGAGGAAGCACCGGCUAACUACGUGCCAGCAGCCGCGGUAAUAC
rnacentral:rRNA from 1 species